UACGUAGGGUGCAAGCGUUGUCCGGAAUUAUUGGGCGUAAAGAGCUCGUAGGCGGUCUGUUGCGUCGGCUGUGAAAACCCGAGGCUCAACCUCGGGCCUGCAGCCGAUACGGGCAGACUAGAGUUCGGCAGGGGAGACUGGAAUUCCUGGUGUAGCGGUGAAAUGCGCAGAUAUCAGGAGGAACACCGGUGGCGAAGGCGGGUCUCUGGGCCGAUACUGACGCUGAGGCACGAAAGCGUGGGGAGCAAACAGG
rnacentral:rRNA from 1 species